GAUGAACGCUAGCGGCAGGCCUAACACAUGCAAGUCGAGGGAGGAGCCUUCGGGCUUCGACCGGCGUACGGGUGCGUAACGCGUAUACAAUCUGCCUUUCACAUAGGGAUAGCCCGAAGAAAUUUGGAUUAAUACCUAAUGGUAUAUAGAUGUGGCAUCACCUUUAUAUUAAAGCUGAGGCGGUGAAAGAUGAGUAUGCGUUCUAUUAGCUAGUUGGAGAGGUAACGGCUCCCCAAGGCGACGAUAGCUAGGGGUUCUGGGAGGGAUAUCCCCCACACGGGUACUGAGAUACGGACCAGACUCCUACGGGAGGCAGCAGUGAGGAAUAUUGGACAAUGGUCGGAAGACUGAUCCAGCCAUGCCGCGUGCAGGAAGACGGCCUUAUGGGUUGUAAACUGCUUUUGCAGGGGAAGAAUAAGGACUACGCGUAGUUUGAUGACGGUACUCUGCGAAUAAGCAUCGGCUAACUCCGUG
rnacentral:rRNA from 1 species